UACUUCGAUUUGAAAUCGAAAGGCAGACACACGUGGUCCCUCAUCGUUUUUAUGUAGCUAACAAACGUUUGUGUACAGUGUACUAAAGAUUUGUUUUCCCAAAAUAAAAUUAUUAAUUAUAAUUAAUAUAUAAAUUUCAUAAAAUUAUAGAUUUUCUGACUAGCUAAUGAUUGGGACCGCGACCAUUCUUUUAAAGGUUAGCAUAUUCCUUAGAAAACUCGACAAUCUAAAGCAAAAUGAGUUGCAGAAACAAACCGCAUGCAGUUCUUGUGCCAUUCCCACUCCAAGGCCAUGUAAACCCUUUUAUGAAGCUCGCGAAGCUUCUCCACUUUAAUGGCUUCCACAUCUCCUUUGUCAACACCGAAUUCAACCACCAGCGUCUCAUCCGCUCCAAAGGCCCGGAGUCCGUCGAAGGUUUGCCGGACUUUCGGUUCGAGACCAUCCCCGACGGCAUGCCUCACUCAGAUCAAGAUACCAGUCAGGACAUACCGAUGCUUUGUGACAUGACCAGAAAGACAUGUUUGGUUCCGUUCAAGGAGUUGUUGCAGAAGUUGAGCUCGUCAGCCGGAAUCCCACCAGUCAGCUGCGUCGUCGGAGAUGGCCUGAUGACCUUUGCGAUAAAAGCUGCUAAGGAUUUGGGGAUUCCGGAGGUUCAGUUCUGGACUUCUUCGGCGUGUUCUUUCAUGGGACUUUUGCAAUAUCGAGAGUUAAUCAAAAGAGGAAUUGUUCCUUUUAAAGAUGAUAGCUAUCUAACGGAUGGAACAUUGGAAAAAACAAUCGAUUGGAUCCCGGGGAUGAGCAAUAUUCGUUAUAAAGAUAUUCCAAGUUUCAUUAGAACAACAGAUUCCGACGAUAUCAUGCUGAAUUUCUCGGGCGAGGAGACCCAAAAUAACUUGAAUGCUUCCGCGAUUAUCUUCAAUACUUUCGAUGCAUUAGAGCACGACGUAUUAGAAGCCAUUGCACCCAAAUUCAAUUACCACAACAUGUUCACACUCGGCCCUCUUCACUUACUCGCCAAAUACGUUCCAGAUGAUAGUCCACUACACUCGUUGAAUUCGAGUUUAUGGAAACCAGACUCCUCAUGUUUGCAAUGGCUAGACCAGAAGAAGGAAAGGUCUGUUAUCUAUGUCAAUUAUGGAAGUUUGACUACUAUGACUGAGCAACAUCUGAUUGAGUUUGCAUGGGGUUUAGCAAAUAGCAAGCAAUCGUUCUUAUGGGUGGUUCGACCAGAUGUGACAAUGGGGGAUUCAGCGAUUUUGCCUGAAGAAUUCUUGAAGGAGACGAAGGAUAGAGGACUCAUGGUGAGUUGGUGCGAACAAGAUCAGGUUCUGGCCCACCCAUCGAUUGGUGGGUUUUUAACACAUUGUGGGUGGAAUUCUACGACUGAAAGCAUAUCGGAAGGUGUUCCGUUGAUCUGUUGGCCUUUCUUCGCAGAUCAACAAACAAAUUGUCGAUACUCUUGUGUUGAAUGGGGAAUUGGGAUGGAGAUUAAUCACGAUGUGAAGCGAAAUGAAGUUGAAGUUCUUGUUAAGGAAAUGCUUCUGGGGAAUGAUGGAAAGGAAAUGAGAAGAAAGGCCAAUGAAUGGAAAACGAAAGCAAAAGAAGCGAAUGAUAUUGGUGGUUCGUCAUAUAAUAACUUCCAUCGGUUUAUCAAAGAGGCUCUUCUUUCGGGAGUUUCCCACGUUUAAGAAACGUGUCACAGGUUCAAUAUGUUUUCAUUUUUGAUCAGGCUCUAAACGUAACUUUGAAGGCCCUACAACCACUAUCUUCCACGUCCUUCCAAUCGAAUCAGACAGCAAAAUGAAACAUAUGGAAAUCGAGGCAGAGGCAUCCCAUUUGGCCAAAUUAGGAUUAGAGGAUGCUACUAAGAAUCCCCCUGAAAACCCCCCUUUUAAAGAAGGAAAAUCCUAAGAGCUUGUCUGCUGCCGCUGUGUUCUAGUAGAAACUCUUUAGGUCUGGGUUUGGCUGCUUUGUGGCGUCGACCACUGAUUCUUCGGUUGUUACACCUAUCCCUAUCCUCUCCGAUACCAUGACUUAGAACGAGGAGCAUGUAGGAAACGAAUCCGUGGACACGGAGACAAUUAUCUAUAAUCCCCCUCUUCGUCGGGCUCUAUCGUCAUAAUAGGAAAAGAAGCUACUAUGCCAACACUGAUUACCCUCGCUGCAUCACUUCCCCAGUUUCAGCAUCCUUUCACUAUGACUAGUGUUCCUCCGAAUCGUUUUCAAACGGGGGUUGCCUCUGAUGAGGAUGCACUAGAUAAGGCUCGGUCAUGCUUUAUGGAAGGGAUGUACUUGUUGAGUGAAGUGUCUCUCCGCAUGAAAACAUGCUCAGAGGAGCUUUCCAAACGCCAGGUUGUUUUUGACAAAGCUUUGGAAGGGCUAAAACAGUUGUAGGUCCUUCACAAACAGACAGAGAAAGAUGCCAAAGAGUUAAAGGAAGAGGUUGUUGGUUUGUCAGAAAGGAACCGAAGUCUGGUAGUAGAUUUGAUUCGAUCUAUUGGUCAGCAGGAGGAGCUGAAAAAGUUGAACCAGGACUUGCAAAUAAGGAUAAAUGAUGCUCUGGGCCUUAAAGAGCUUGAAGGUGUUUCUCAGCAGUAUCAUUCAUUGAAGUCUCAAUACACAGAGAAAGUUUCUCAAUUGGAGAUUCCCUGUUCGAGUAAGGAUGCCAUCAUUAAGUUGUUGGAGGAGGAUUUGGCUACGCCGAAACUCCUGAUGUUGGAGAGGGAUGCUAAAAUUGCUACGUUAAAUGAUUCAUAAAUCCUGACGGAACAGAAGGUGGCCACUUGCCAGGCAAGAGCGGACCAGGGAGAUGAGGAACUGCAAUGGGUUAUGAAAGAAGGUAUUCCUCUUUUUGUUCGUGCUUUAUUAGAUUCAAGAGACUUUGGUAUUGUGAAUGCUACCUUGCAGACGUCCGCCAUCCAACUUGGCCUUCAUCAAGCUUGUUUUUACAUGAAGGAAAAAUACCCUAAAGAAUUGAAGGAUAAGAGUGUCUUGUAUUCGUACCCAGAUGCACAACGUCAAAUUAUUGAUCAUUUUUUUGAGCUGACAACAUAUAAGUACUCCCUUUUAUCUGCUCUAGGGGAUGAAGGAAUGGACGUUGGUGGUCUAAAAAAAUUGCUGAAGGUUGUCGGUUGUUCCAAGGAGGAUGAAGUUGGAUCGUGUUAAUUUUAGUAGCGGUUUGAAUAUGUAAUCGUUACUUUUUGAUUUCACCCCUGCCGCUAGGCAGGUUUGCUUGUUUUGUUAUUUUGUAAUGACAUCUUGCUAAAUGAAAAUGGACUUUUUCUUUAUA